rnacentral:rRNA from 1 species
GAUGAACGCUGGCGGCGUGCCUAAUACAUGCAAGUCGAGCGAACAGACGAGGAGCUUGCUCCUCUGACGUUAGCGGCGGACGGGUGAGUAACACGUGGAUAACCUACCUAUAAGACUGGGAUAACUUUGGGAAACCGGAGCUAAUACCGGAUAAUAUAUUGAACCGCAUGGUUCAAUAGUGAAAGACGGUUUUGCUGUCACUUAUAGAUGGAUCCGCGCCGCAUUAGCUAGUUGGUAAGGUAACGGCUUACCAAGGCAACGAUGCGUAGCCGACCUGAGAGGGUGAUCGGCCACACUGGAACUGAGACACGGUCCAGACUCCUACGGGAGGCAGCAGUAGGGAAUCUUCCGCAAAGGGCGAAAGCCUGACGGAGCAACGCCGCGUGAGUGAUGAAGGUCUUCGGAUCGUAAAACUCUGUUAUUAGGGAAGAACAAAUGUGUAAGUAACUAUGCACGUCUUGACGGUACCUAAUCAGAAAGCCACGGCUAACUACGUG